UACGUAGGGUGCAAGCGUUAAUCGGAAUUACUGGGCGUAAAGCGUGCGCAGGCGGUUAUGUAAGUCAGGUGUGAAAUCCCCGGGCUUAACCUGGGAACUGCAUUUGGGACUGCAAGGCUCGAGUGCGGCAGAGGAGACUGGAAUUCCUGGUGUAGCAGUGAAAUGCGUAGAUAUCAGGAGGAAUACCGAUGGCGAAGGCGGUUCUCUGGGCAUGUCCUGACGCUGAGGAGCGAAAGUGUGGGGAGCGAACAGG
rnacentral:rRNA from 1 species